AUUGUGAGAAAAGAUCUUGAGUUGUUUGUUAAAGAGAUUGAUAAUCAGAUUUGAACAUUGUUAAUUUCUUUUGAUUUUCGUUCACAUGGUGAUCUUGUGAGCUUGGUGUAGCAGAGUUUUAGUUCAUUGAAAUCAUCUUUUGAAUGAAUGAUAAGGACAUUAUCAUAUCAUAACAUCAUGACUUGUUACAGCUGAAAAAUGAGGCACGUUUUUUAACUGAGAUCUGACAAUCCUGGACUAUGAAUAGUCACUGUUUGUUGUUGUUUUCCUGGAGGAAACUAUGUUUCAAAUAUGUACUUUGGUUUUGGGUAAGAUUGCAUUCUACCAUUAAAACUUCUACAUUAAAAGUCUUGCAGUGAACGGGAACUCAUGCAGAUGUCAUUCAGUGCACAGUUGUCAAACAUCUCUCAUUUACUACACAUUUCCAUUGUUUCUUGUGUUGGUGAAUGACGUUAAAUGUCAUGUGCUUUGUGAGAAUCCAAUUUUGUAUUGUUUCCUUGGUACUAAAGAUAUAUAGCAAGCAGUAUUGCAAACAAAUGAUCUGUAAAUACAAAGUUUAUGUUCAUGAAAGACCUGAGGCUCAAAUACAUUUGAUCAGCAGAGUUCAUGUUGAUUUUUGUAGUAUGUCUCAUAUUUGUUUCAUAAUAAAAUAUAAACAAUAA